AUGCUUUGACGAUACUGCAUAGCCAUGUUUUAAGGACAAGGCAUGUCACACGAUCGUGUCUCCUAAGCACACAGUUGUGUCUUAUGGGCCUAAUAUAAGCCUUGGGCAAGGCUUGUUCGGCUAUUCUAGAGUUUGGCUUUUUUCAACUUCAGCACCUGAAUUCCUUGUCCCUGCACUCUAAUCACCAUAUAACUCAUGAUAAAACUCAU
rnacentral:lncRNA from 1 species